GCCCCUGCUCUUGCCUUUGCUUGCCUCUGUCAUCUCUGCAUUCAGAGUCCAGUGUUCCUGCAUCUGCUCCUGUUCCUGCCUUAGUCCCUGCUUGCUUCUGCUGGUCUCCUGCAUCUCAGUGCCUUGUUCUGGCUCCUUGUUCCCAAUCCUGCGACCUGGCUCCCAGCCCCAUCCUCCCACCUCCGCUUGGCCACAGCCAGCUGCACCGUGAGUGUCUUUGGACUCGAUACCCUGCGUGGCGAACUGGGUCCUGAUGCUCUUAUUCCUGAUUCUGUAGAAUGGAGCCAGAACGUGGAGAACUGAUUUUACCGCAGAUGCACCCGCACUUCUUUUUCACCAAACGUCUGCCUCAGUUUUGCUGUGUGGGAACAUAACCCAAAUUCUACCAAGAUCUGGUUGUAUCUCUAGAAAAUUCAUUAUCCAACCCAACCCUAUUCUCCCCUCGGAUGCCGGCUGGCGGUGCAAGCAGGUCGCCCUCCCAAGACACGCCUCGCCUCGAGGUGCGAAGAGGGCCGCGUCAGACGAGACGGGCAGCAACUGGCGUUGACUCGGGGCCCGCGAGGGCGGAGUUUCCAGGAGGUGCGUUUUUGAAGAGCCGGGGGCGCGGCUUUAACCAUUUCAAGCCCGGCCUCAGGAGAGCGACUCGGCCGGGAGCGGCAGUGGAUGGGUGUGUUGCUGCCGUCAUCUAAAUAAUGCAAGAUUUCUGAACUGAAUCGCUUCAUCAACAACAAAAAUAUGAAAACCAUCAACAUUCUGAGGUGAAGCUGCCACUCCAAAUGAAUCUUAGCAUUUGGGGGGGAAGACCGAUUGACAUAGUAUUAUUCAACUGUGAUUGAUAUCUUUUGAAAAGCGGGUUAAAAAUAGGUGCCAUACCUCUCUCUACAUAAGACUGACUGCUGAUUAAGUGACAGACUUGCCAAAGGUAGUAAAUAUUGCACAUGCCUGAAUGUCUCGUAAGUUAGCUCUCGGACGACAAGGAUGUUGGUUGAGCAUGCCAGGAGGGCAAGCGAACAAACUACAGUAGAGGGCAACCAGGAUCCUGCCCAGCUGGACUCUGCCAGCCUAUGCGUGUAUUCAUAUGGCUCUUCUUUGGCUCGGUGACUCUGAGCAUCUGUCAGUUAUACAGCUUUAGGUACACUGAGAGGUAGAACAAAAACUCCGAAGACAAUAGGCAAUUCCCAGUCCCGCUGAACGCAAAGGAGACAGUCAAACCCCAAGUUCUGUUGCCAUCGAGAGAAGUGAUCAGGACCAAGACAUAACAUGAUGGAGCAUCAUUGAUCAAAACGGAGCUCGAAGAUUAAAUUUAGUUCUCAGUGCAGUCUAGAAUUGUUGAAGUGAGCCACGAUGUUCAGCUAUUUUACCAUUUACUGUAAUGCUGACUGAUUGAUAUCUCCCGGCGUUCAUUCACCUCUUUCUUCCUCUCUGCCACCCAAAAAUAAGUCUUGUCAUAUUU